rnacentral:rRNA from 1 species
CAACUUUCAACAAUGGAUCUCUUGGUUCUGGCAUCGAUGAAGAACGCAGCGAAAUGCGAUAAGUAGUGUGAAUUGCAGAAUUCAGUGAAUCAUCGAAUCUUUGAACGCACAUUGCGCCCCAUGGUAUUCCGUGGGGCAUGCCUGUUCGAGCGUCAUUU